rnacentral:rRNA from 1 species
CCCUUAGAUGUUCUGGGCCGCACGCGCGCUACACUGAUGCAUUCAACGAGUCUAAAACCUGGUCUGAUAGGGCUGGGUAAUCUUUUGAAUGUGCAUCGUGAUUGGGAUAGAUGAUUGCAAUUCUUCAUCUUCAACGAGGAAUGCCUAGUAAACGCAAGUCAUCAGCUUGCAUUGAUUACGUCCCUGCCCUUUGUACACACCGCCCGUCGCUCCUACCGAUUGAAUGUUCCGAUGAAUACCAUGGACUGAGAGUAUGAAUGGGUUCGCCUAUUUCUGCUUCUCGGGAAGUGGAGUAAAUCUUAACAUUUGGAGGAAGGAGAAGUCGUAACA